ACGGCUCAGUAACACGUGGAUAACCUACCCUCGGAUUUGGGAUAACCCCGGAAAACUGGGGAUAAUACCGAAUAAGCCGUGAAAGCUGGAAUGCUUUGCGGCACAAAGCGCUAGCGUCCGAGGAUGGGUCUGCGGCCGAUUAGGUUGUUGCUGGGGUAACGUCCCAACAAGCCGAUGAUCGGUACGGGUUGUGAGAGCAAGAGCCCGGAGAUGGAUUCUGAGACACGAAUCCAGGCCCUACGGGGCGCAGCAGGCGCGAAAACUUUACACUGCGCGAAAGCGCGAUAAGGGGACCCUGAGUGUGUGCGCAAUGCGUACGCUUUUCAGAUGCCUAAAAAGCAUCUGGAAUAAGGGCCGGGCAAGACCGGUGCCAGCCGCCGCGGUAACACCGGCGGCUCGAGUGGUGGCCGCUAUUAUUGGGCUUAAAGGGUCCGUAGCCGGACCGAAUAGUCCAUUGGGAAAUCUUACAGCUCAACUGUCAGGCUGCCAAUGGAUACUGUCGGUCUUGGGACCGGGAGAGGCAAGAGGUACCUCGAGGGUAGGAGUGAAAUCCUGUAAUCCCUGAGGGACCGCCAGUGGCGAAAGCGUCUUGCUAGAACGGGUCCGACGGUGAGGGACGAAAGCUAGGGGCACGAACCGGAUUAGAUACCCGGGUAGUCCUAGCCGUAAACGAUGCGAGCUAGGUGUCACGUGGAUUGCGAAUCCGCGUGGUGCCGUAGGGAAACCGUGAAGCUCGCCGCCUGGGAAGUACGGCCGCAAGGUUGAAACUUAAAGGAAUUGGCGGGGGAGCAC
rnacentral:rRNA from 1 species